GCCUUUAAACGCAACAUGAGCGCUAAGACGCUCGCGCUGUGCGGCAGUGACGGAGACCUGCUGCUGCCUGGCAGAGCUACGAUGUGGGUUUGAAUCAUGGCAGCAAAACAGCAAAACGCAAAGAACUUUGCACAGUUUUCCCCCCACACUAACCGACGGAGUUGAGUGAAGGUGCUGGAUUCAGAGCUGCCAACUCCCAGCUCCGCCGUCGCUGAAACGCACAAGCAUCGUUUUGAUGGCCGGGUGUGCAAGAAUGCUACAUGCUCACGGUGUUGCUUCACACAUUUCAUGCCAAAAAAAAAAAAAGAAUCUGGGGCACGGAGCAGGACCGAAGAGGAGAGAGAGACGGAGGAAAUUCAAGUCUUCUUGAGCGGAGAGGACAGGACAGACUGUUGUCUGGAGCAUGAUUGACUUCCAUCCAAAGUGCCUAAUUUUGAUUGAAACACAAAGUGAGCUCAGUGACCGCCAAAGGACACCGGUCUAUCGAGGCAGUUUCAGAUCCGAGCGCUGACUUCAUCUUGGCAGGAAUCCCGGCCCACUGGUACCUCGGUUGUAUAACAAAGCGGCAGACAUUUCCGUGACCGCAGCUUCAUGCCCUUACGGAGAAGAACCGCUCGGACUCUUCUGUCACUUCACUGACCUCGUGUGAUGUACAGCUAUAAAAGAUUCUCUGUGAUGCACAGUUUGAACAUCUGAGCAGCAGAGUGGGAAAGCUGCAGCCGUGGCGCCGCAACGCUCAGAAGAAGACGUGCUAACUUUUGGAAGCACAACAGAACCAAAACAAAACACAAUGGAGGCGAGGCAGUUGCUCAAGGGGACAGUCGCUUGGUUGAAUCGGGCAGGUGUCACGAAGGAUGCGGAGGGGAACAGAAAGGGACGCCUGGCUGAAAGAUUUCUCUGCAUCUCGGCUGAGGCAGAAGUUGAUCACGCCCUGACAGACAUCACUAUCUAGGACAGACGACUUCUCCAUACCUCUUUCCCCGCUCUCUAUCUGCGGAUUCACUCCCUCUUUCAAGCCCCUGGACCAUGCCAAGGCAGUUUGACUAAGAACAUUAGGGUGUCACAGCUUGGGAUUUGGCUUUGGCAAUUCUAUUAGAGCGAAGCCUCUAAAGGCAGGCGCCUUCCUUUCCCCCAUACCUCUCCUCCUGGCGUCGCCGCUGCCAGCCAACAGAUGCAGGUUUUUACAUAUCAAAGCUGUUGCCUUGCCAGAGUCGUUCCUUCACGCCUCUAAUGCUCUUUGCUUCAGAGGACUGUACCUCGGCGCCUUGAUCAAGUUACUAAACGCGGCUUUGCACAUGGCUCACCACCAAAGGCGGGCGUCUCAUGCUGGGACCUGGAAAUGCAGCUGAGAAAAGCAUCUCAGAGGGAUUGGCUUGUGCUUACACAC